rnacentral:rRNA from 1 species
AACCCAAACUAAUUAUCUUCGGCGUAAAACGUGUCAACUAUAAAUAAAUAAAUAGAAUUAAAAUCCAACUUAUAUGUGAAAAUUCAUUGUUAGGACCUAAACUCAAUAACGAAAGUAAUUCUAAUCAUUUAUAAUACACGACAGCUAAGACCCAAACUGGGAUUAGAUACCCCACUAUGCUUAGCCAUAAACCUAAAUAAUUAAAUUUAACAAAACUAUUUGCCAGAGAACUACUAGCCAUAGCUUAAAACUCAAAGGACUUGGCGGUACUUUAUAUCCAUCUAGAGGAGCCUGUUCUAUAAUCGAUAAACCCCGCUCUACCUCACCAUCUCUUGCUAAUU